rnacentral:rRNA from 1 species
AGAGUUUGAUCCUGGCUCAGGACGAACGCUGGCGGCGUGCUUAACACAUGCAAGUCGAACGGAGAAUUAUUUCGGUAAUUCUUAGUGGCGAACGGGUGAGUAACGCGUAGACAACCUACCUUUUAGAUGGGGACAACAUCGCGAAAGCGGUGCUAAUACCGAAUGUUGAUAAUGAAAUGCAUGUUUCGUUAUUUAAAGAUGGCCUCUAUAUAUAAGCUAUCGCUAAAAGAUGGGUCUGCGUCUGAUUAGCUAGUUGGUGAGAUAACAGCCCACCAAGGCAACGAUCAGUAGCCGGUCUGAGAGGAUGAACGGCCACAUUGGGACUGAGACACGGCCCAA